rnacentral:rRNA from 1 species
UUAGAGUUUGAUCCUGGCUCAGAUUGAACGCUGGCGGCAUGCCUUACACAUGCAAGUCGAACGGCAGCACGGGUGCUUGCACCUGGUGGCGAGUGGCGAACGGGUGAGUAAUACAUCGGAACAUGUCCUGUAGUGGGGGAUAGCCCGGCGAAAGCCGGAUUAAUACCGCAUACGAUCCACGGAUGAAAGCGGGGGACCUUCGGGCCUCGCGCUAUAGGGUUGGCCGAUGGCUGAUUAGCUAGUUGGUGGGGUAAAGGCCUACCAAGGCGACGAUCAGUAGCUGGUCUGAGAGGACGACCAGCCACACUGGGACUGAGACACGGCCCAGACUCCUACGGGAGGCAGCAGUGGGGAAUUUUGGACAAUGUGCGCGAACAGCUCUUGAUAUCCAGGCAAUGCCGGCGUGUGUGAAGAAGGCCUCCGGGUUGUAAAGGCACUUUGGUCCGGAAAGAAAUUCCUUGGCUCUAAUACAGUCCGGGGGAAUUGACCGUACCGGAAGAAUAAAGCCACCCCGGCCUAACCUACCGUUGCCAGCAGCCCGCCGGUUAAAUAACCGUUAGGGUGCAAGCGUUUAAUCGGGAAUUUACUGGGGCGGUAAAGCGGUGCGCAGGCGGUUUGCUAAGAACCGAUGUUGAAAUCCCCGGGCUUCAACCUGGGAAACUGCAUUGGUCGAACUGGCAGGCUAGAGUAUGGCAGAGGGGGGUAGAAUUCCACGUGUAGCAGUGAAAUGCGUAGAGAUGUGGAGGAAUACCGAUGGCGAAGGCAGCCCCCCUGGGCCCAAUACUGACGCUCAUGCACGAAAGCGUGGGGAGCAAACAGGAUUUAGAUACCCUGGUAGUCCACGCCCUAAACGAUGUCAACUAGUUGUUGGGGAUUCAUUUCCUUAGUAACGUAGCUAACGCGUGAAGUUGACCGCCUGGGGAGUACGGUCGCAAGAUUAAAACUCAAAGGAAUUGACGGGGACCCGCACAAGCGGUGGGAUGAUGUGGGAUUAAUUUCGAUGCAACGCGGAAAAACCCUUUACCUUACCCUUGACAUGGGUCGGAAUCCUGCUGAGGAGGUGGGAGUGCUCGAAAAGAGAAACGGCGCCACCAGGUGCUGCAAUGGCUGUCGUCAGCUCGUGUCAGUGAGAUGUUGGAUUAAGUCCCGCAACGAGCGCAACCCUUGUCCUUAGUUGCUACGCAAGAGCACUCUAAGAGAGACCUGCCCGUGUACACAAACGGAGGAAGGUGGGGAUGACGUCAAGUCCUCAUGGCCCUUAUGGGUAGGGCUUCACACGUCAUACAAUGGUCGGAACAGAGGGUUGCCAACCCGCGAGGGGGAGCUAAUCCCAGAAAACCGAUCGUAGUCCGGAUUGCACUCUGCAACUCGAGUGCAUGAAGCUGGAAUCGCUAGUAAUCGCGGAUCAGCAUGCCGCGGUGAAUACGUUCCCGGGUCUUGUACACACCGCCCGUCACACCAUGGGAGUGGGUUUUACCAGAAGUGGCUAGUCUAACCGCAAGGAGGACGGUCACCACGGUAGGGUUCAUGACUGGGGUUGAAGUCGUAACAAGGUAACCGUA